UACAGAGGUGGCGAGCGUUAUUCGGAAUUAUUGGGCGUAAAGGGCGCGUAGGCGGCUUGACAAGUCCCGGGUGAAAUCCCUCGGCUCAACCGAGGAACUGCCUUGGAAGCUGUCUGGCUUGAGGCCGGGAGAGGGUAGUGGAAUUCCCAGUGUAGCGGUGAAAUGCGUAGAUACUGGGAGGAACACCGGGUGGCGAAGGCGGCUACCUGGACCGGUUCUGACGCUGAGGCGCGAAAGCGUGGGUAGCAAACAGG
rnacentral:rRNA from 1 species